CUUUCACCUUCCAGAUGCUCAAACAUGUUUUACGAAGUUCAGCAGAUUAAUAAUGCCUAAAGAUGCAAAACUCAAAGGAAAUA